GUGUGUCAAGUAAUUUUCACAUCAAGUGAUGGUCCGGAAUUCCUUUUACUCCAGAUUCCGUUGAGAGAUGGUCCGGAAUCCCUUCUACACCGCGAUUCCGUUGAGUGAUGUUCCGGAAGCUUAUCUAACUUGGGUUUCACUUAGUGGUGGUUGUGCAUUGUGCUCCGCGAUUUCGUUGAGUGAUGGUCCAGAAUCGUAUCCACUCGGAUUCCGUUGAUAGAUGGUCCGGAAUCCCUCCUACUCCGGGAUUCCAUUGAGUGAUGGUCCGGAAUCGUAUCUUAAUUUGGAGUCCGUUGAGUAGUUCGGAAUCCCUACUCUUGCUCAUUUCCAUAAGUUAGACUUGUUCCCUGGAUUCAAGUGAAUGGGAUUUACCCACAAUAGAUGUUAUGAAUAUAAAUUAGAAUUAUCAAGUUAUUACUUGAAAUCCAGGCAGGGAAAUAUGUAGAAGUUCUUUAUUAAUUUUUGUGCAUUGAGGUGUGAUCUGAUUGACUGAUUAACAUAAUUAAAUGUUAAUAUCGUGCCUCCUUGAUAUCAUGGAAUGAGUUACUUGAG
rnacentral:lncRNA from 1 species